rnacentral:rRNA from 1 species
UACGUAGGGUGCAAGCGUUGUCCGGAAUUAUUGGGCGUAAAGAGCUCGUAGGCGGUCUGUCGCGUCUGCUGUGAAAACUCAGGGCUUAACCCUGAGCUUGCAGUGGGUACGGGCAGACUAGAGUGCGGUAGGGGAGACUGGAAUUCCUGGUGUAGCGGUGAAAUGCGCAGAUAUCAGAAGGAACAUCAGUGGCGAAAGCGACUUCCUGGACCAGAACUGACGAUCAGGCACGAAAGCGUGGGGAGCAAACAGG